AUUUAUAUAGUUUAAAAAACAUUACAUUUUCAUUGUAAAAUUAAGAAAAUUUUCUUUAUAAAUG
rnacentral:tRNA from 1 species